GAUGAACGCUGGCGGCGUGCCUAAUACAUGCAAGUCGAGCGAACAGACGAGGAGCUUGCUCCUCUGACGUUAGCGGCGGACGGGUGAGUAACACGUGGAUAACCUACCUAUAAGACUGGGAUAACUUCGGGAAACCGGAGCUAAUACCGGAUAACAUGUUGAACCGCAUGGUUCAACAGUGAAAGACGGUCUUGCUGUCACUUAUAGAUGGAUCCGCGCCGCAUUAGCUAGUUGGUAAGGUAACGGCUUACCAAGGCAACGAUGCGUAGCCGACCUGAGAGGGUGAUCGGCCACACUGGAACUGAGACACGGUCCAGACUCCUACGGGAGGCAGCAGUAGGGAAUCUUCCGAAAUGGGCGAAAGCCUGACGGAGCAACGCCGCGUGAGUGAAGAAGGUCUUCGGAUCGUAAGACUCUGUUAUUAGGGAAGAACAAAUGUGUAAGUAACUAUGCACGUCUUGACGGUACCUAAUCAGAAAGCCACGGCUAACUACGUG
rnacentral:rRNA from 1 species